rnacentral:misc_RNA from 1 species
GAUGAAGAACGUAGCGAAAUGCGAUACGUAAUGUGAAUUGCAGAAUUCAGUGAAUCAUCGAGUCUUUGAACGCACAUUGCGCCCCCUGGUAUUCCGGGGGGCAUGCCUGUCCGAGCGUCAUUGCUGCCCUCAAGCACGGCUUGUGUGUUGGGCCUCCGUCCUCCUCCCGGGGGACGGGCCCGAAAGGCAGCGGCGGCACCGCGUCCGGUCCUCGAGCGUAUGGGGCUUCGUCACCCGCUCUUGUAGGCCCGGCCGGCGCUUGCCGACACAUCAAUCUUUUUUCCAGGUUGACCUCGGAUCAGGGAGGGAUACCCGCUGAACUUAAGCAUAUCAAUAAGCGGAGGA